AGAGUUUGAUCCUGGCUCAGGAUAAACGCUGGCGGCGUGCCUUAGGCAUGCAAGUCGAACGGGUCUGGCUUGCCAGACCAGUGGCGGAAGGGUGAGUAACGCGUGGGAACGUACCUAUUGGUGGAGUAUAGCCUUCCGAAAGGAGGGGUAAUACUGCAUAAGUUCGCAAGAAGAAAGGGCUUAACCGCCCGCCGAUAGAGCGGCCCGCGUCCUAUCAGUUUGUUGGUGGGGUAAUGGCCUACCAAGACAAUGACGGGUAGCUGGGCUGAGAGGUCGGCCAGCCACAAGGGAACUGAGACACGGUCCCUACAUCUACGGAUGGCAGCAACCGGGAAUCUUGGACAAUGGGGGAAACCCUGAUCCAGCGACGCCGCGUGGGGGAAGAAGGCCUUCGGGUUGUAAACUCCUUUUGCCAGUUAUAAUGACUUGGCGAAUAAGCACCUGCCAACUACGUGCCAGCAGCCGCGGUGAAACGUAGGGUGCAAGCGUUAUCCGGAUUUACUGGGCGUAAAGGGUUGCGUAGGCGGUAACUUAAGUCAAAACUCAAAUCUUCCAGCUCAACUGGAAAUCGGGUUUUGAAACUAAGUUGCUUGAGUCUUGGAGAGGUAGCCGGAACUUGCAGUGGAGCGGUGAAAUGCGUUGAUAUUGCAAGGAACACCGAUGGCGUAGGCAGGCUACUGGUCAAGUACUGACGCUGAUGCACGAAAGCUAGGGGAGCGAAAGGGAUUAGAGACCCCUGUAGUCCUAGCCGUAAACGAUGGACACUAGCUGAUUGCUUUUUAAAGUGAUUGGCGCAAGCUAACGCGUUAAGUGUCCCGCCUGGGGAGUACGGCCGCAAGGCUAAAACUCAAAGGAAUUGACGGGGACCUGCACAAGCGGUGGAGCAUGU
rnacentral:rRNA from 1 species